rnacentral:tRNA from 1 species
GCCUCCGUAGUUCAAUGGAUAGAAUGUUAGAUUCCGGUUCUGAUGAUGUAGGUUCGAUUCCUACCGGAGGUACAA